GACCUGGUGGCGCAACUGGUAACGUGCACAUUUACUGUACGUUGACGACACAUAAUCUUUAAAUGUGAGACCCUCGUUCAAUUCAAGGUCAGGCUG